GCGAGAGAGUGCAUCUCAUAAGCUCUGAGAAGGAGUUUGGCAUGAGAAAUAAUUUAAUCACCAUAAAAAAGAAAUUCACUGAAUAUUGGGCCAAGUGAUGGGUUCUUUUUCUAUGUGUGGACCAACUGUAAUGUUUCUUUAGAGAAGACUGCAUAUCUCAGCAAAACCUGUCAGAUGACAUCAAAGAUUGGCAUGCAGAGUUGCUUGCAUGCUUGAUUUAGAAGUCACCUGUUGAAGAGGACAGAGGCACAAAAUGGGAAAACAUACCAGAAGACCACUUGUGGAAAUUCAAACAACAACGAGAUAUUGGCUAGAUUUGCUGAAGAUUCUAAAUGUGUUUAUCAUCUUUCUUUAUUUUAUUGUUCGCUCUUGUCCUCAGGCAUUUCAUAAAGCUUUAUCUAGACAAAAUCACACAGACAAAACAAUAACGAUGCUGAAGUGGAUAAGGUCAAAGGUACCUUAUCUCCCUGACUCUGAGCUUGACUAUGGGACUCACUUUGUCCAGUGAGAAGUUAGCAGAUUGCGACAGAAAUAGAAGCUUGUAAAAAGCGCUUGUGAUUUUCCAUUUUGCUCUUGCUCCUGUGCCAUUGGCACAAGAA